CUCCUCUGCCUUUUCUCUGCCCUGCUGGCCCUCAUCAACACCCCAGAACCCGCCUCAUCGGACACUCCCUGGUUCCGCUGGCUACUGAGGAGUGUUUUCUGCGUCUUGACUCAGUAUCUGAAAAGUUGUUUCUAGGAGCAGUAAAUGAAGGAUCGUCAUCACAAUAUCUGCAGUCGUGCCCACAAUACUCUUGGGCAGACCACUGCACUGCUUUGCCUGGGGGUACACCCCACCGCCCAACUAUGCCUGACCCAGGAAGUGAUUCACUACAGACUCUUCCAGUCCCUGAGCCCAGCAGUGAUCACUUCAGGUCCCAGCAGACUGGAAGCAUCUAGGGAUUUUAGGGAGAGUCUCCGGGUCCUGGUGUCUAUGGCUCACACACGUCUUGCGGUUUUACAAUGCGGACUGUGUGAACAACAUGUUCAACUUUCUCCAGCCCUGGAGAACCAUGGUGAGUUUUAGAGGAGGUUAGAUAACCUGACCAGGCCACAUUGCAUCUUAGUUCAGGCUGCUAUACCAACGUACCGUACACUGGGUGGCUUUCAACCAGGCAUUUCUUUAUUAUAGUUCUAGAAGCUGGAAGUCUGGGAUCAGAGUGGCAGCAUGGUCGGGUUCUGGUGAGACCCUCUUCUGGGUUGCAGAUGGCCAAUUUCUCCUCAUAGCCUCAUGUGGCAGAGAGCAGCAAGCUCUCUAAUGACGCUUAUAAGGACACUAAUCCCAUUCACAAGGGCUCCACCCAUUACCUCCUCUACUUCUAAGUACUUCCCAAAGUCCAUCUCCUAAUACCAUCAUAUUGGGGCACAGGGUUUCAACAUGGACUUGGAGGGGACGCACAUUCAAUCCAUGACACAUGAUUAUUGAGUGGUGGGGGGAUUUAAAUUCAGAUCCAAUUGGUUGGAAAACCUGUUUUUCUUACUAUCACACUGGCUAAUUCUUCCUGAGUACUUUCAUUCAUCACAACAUUUAUUAAACACCUGCUGUGUUUGGAGCUGUACUGGGCACACACUAGGGAUGUAGACACAGAUGAGAGUUCCUGCCCUCAGGCUUCCUAGAAUUGAGGGGGCUCUCCGGAAUCUAUACUUCAUCUCCCAGAAUGGAGUGAGAUCACACAGAUGCCCCCAUUCCCCUCUGCCACACACCAUUUUGGACUUUCUGAAAUGGAAAUUUGUCUUAUUCUUCUCAUUAAAGAAAUUUGCCGGCUGCCAAGCAGGUUGUGCCAUGCAUGAAUAGCAUCUGUUGACCCAUUUGUCAUUGGUUGACAUCGGUGCCACCUGCUCACACUUGGAUUUCACUUUAAUUUGGAUCCUAAAUGGUCACUUUAAAAGAUCUUCAGAAAAAAAUAAAUAAAUAAAAGAUCUUCA
rnacentral:lncRNA from 12 species